rnacentral:lncRNA from 1 species
UCGUCACGAGUGAAAUCGGCGCCAGGAGUAGAGGAAAUGGGAAAGUACAGUUGGAAAUCGGCCGAAUGGCGCUACAGUUCGAGAUCGGUUGGUUGGCGCUACAGUCCAAGAUCGGCCAAUGCUACAGUACGGGAUCGGCCGAUGACUUCUGCCUCGCUUAAACCUUGGGGUUCGGAUCGGACACGCCAGGUUCCCGAUCGGGUACCUUUUGCCGAUGAGGAAUCGGCCGAUUAGGAGGUUGGAA